rnacentral:lncRNA from 1 species
CAAUGAUAAGAGUUGGUCUUCACUUUCUGGUAAGAUGGGGGUACCUUCACAAAGGGAAAUGUAUGCCCUGUUUUUAGGUAGAUAAGGGGAGGGCAGAGAACUCUUCCUGCAUCUGUUGAUUCUCAAUUGCCUUCAGUUCAGAAUAAUACUUGUGCCAAAGUAGCAAAUGUUGGGAUGGCAAAUCCUGAUCUUUCUUAACACUUAUCUGCAGGAUCACUGAUCCCAUUUGUUGGAGACAAAAAUGUUAAUAUACUUUUGCAGUGAAGCUUCAUUUAUAUCUAUGAAAGCACUGAAGUUGAAAGCCCUUUACCAGAGGAAUCUCUGUAAAGGUGUCAAGUUGAUUGUGACAAACCUCACAGUUGCUUAUGACCUAGCAGUAUAAUAUGACACUGAAGCUAAGAACUGGUGUGCUGGACAGUAAGAUUAGUCAGCUGAUCCUCACUAUGAGAUUAACAUUUAACCCAGUUGACAGAAGCAGACCUGGGACACAUAAAUAUUGAUGGCUGGGUAAGAGAAGCCAGAGAGAAGAACAGCAAAUGAAAUAACGGCUUUAGGGAUCCUGUGAUGUCCUUAGUUUUUGCUGUCUGACUUCUGCUUCUAUUACUGCAUGGAAAAUCUUCUUAUGUGGGCAACAAUGACCUUCUAGGUGCCAAACCCAAGUCAAAGAAACAGAUUAGGUGCUUAUCACACCUGACUUUACUAGAUGUCAAGCAUCCUGAAAGGAGGAACCAUGCCUUGCACAGAGUUUUGCAAAAAGGAAGCAUGCAGUCUCUCUUGCAGUGUGUGCAUACGGUUACAAAAAGAUGGGAGGAGGAAAUAUUUGAUUAAACUCUGAAUAUAAUCCUUAUUCUGCUGACAAGAUUGUAAGGUUCAUAGAGUUGCUAACCAAGCAGCAGCCACCAAAGCAUGUCAUCAUGGCACUUGAAACACCAGGGAGAGAAUAUUCUGGGGAAAAAAAAAUAACAGGUCACACGCAGAAGACAAAGAACCAAAAUGUCAUUGGUCCACCCAGCAGGAACAUUAGAAGCUAGAAGACCAUAGAGAAAUACAAUAAAUAGGGGAAAGAAUUUUAUCUCUAGAGUUCUGUACUUGAAGAAAAGUAUCAAAUGUAAAUGAUAAUAUUUCCAGAUAUGAAAAAUCUUGAGAUACAUAUGAUACAUCCAUUUUCAGGGGGCUACUAGAGAAUGUGCUUUACUAAACUAAGGGAAUAAUGUAAAGGAACAAUGUGAAACCAGAAAACAGGAAAUCCAUCACAGGAGAGGAUGAAAAAACCAAGUUGAUGAUGAUGGGUAGUAGCUGUGAAAGUGGUUGAAAGAGCAACCAGUUCAGAUUGGAGCAAGAAAAUAGAGAACUCUGGGGGAGAUGCCUCAAAGAUUAACACAAGGAGAUUGAAUACAUCAUUAGUAAGACUUGACAAUGUGAAAGCUUGUCUUGAGUCAUUUGUGAAAGCUUAUCUUGAGUCAUUUGUGAAAGCUAUUAAUGGGAGUGAGAAGAUUUAGCCAAAUGAAUCCAAGUAGGUGAGGUGGGGGGGGAAUGAAAAGUGAUUAUCAAUUCCAGAAAAAGCUAAGCAUUUUAUAAAAAUUUAGGUAGAAAAGCAAAAGGAAUUCUAAAAAUACUUUAGUCAACAGG